CUAGAAACAAAAUUUUUCUAGAGUAAAUCUUUUUAGACUAUGUGUUUGGUUCUGUUACUGGCUCCUAAGGAAAAGAAAUUGCAAUAAUAUAGGUCUUUCUAAAAAGAAAUAAUUCAGGAUUAGGAUUCCUAUAAGAAUUAGAAUAAUGUAGAAAAUCAAGAAAUAAAUUAGGAUGACCAAACAAUUAAGAUGGUGAAACCUCUGAGACCAAAUCCUUGUCCCAGCUCUACCCUGUUCCCAACUGCUCACAGAAUGGAUCAUGUGCCCCUUAUGUUGAAGUGACCACUUAUUUGCUCUUCUGCCUCCUUGAAAGAAAGGAAAGAAAGUUAUGUUUUGCCACUGAUUUAGCCAUAUGAAACUCAUCACCCUUUUCUGGGUCUGAAGCUGCUGUCUCUAAAAGUGCCAUCUCAUUGUGCUUUGUAUCGGUUAGUGCUGGAGAAAUCUUGAAAAGCAUAUGUACAAACCUUUAAAUUUUUUCUAUUAUUUUGGAACUUUGCUGCUUUGGGGUUGAGGCACACUGGUCACCCCUCUGCCUGUGAGAGCUCUCUGCAGUCUGUGGGCUAGCAGUGUGGUGAUCUUUUCAAGUUUCUUUCCCUACCCAAUCCCCCUUUUCUGAUGAGGUUUCAGUGAGGUCUGCUAGGUGUGCAACCUGCAGCUUAAUUGGCUUAAAAUGUUCUCUCCUUUGGUGUGGUCUCUUUGGGGACCAACUGGGAGGAAAAAAAAAAAAACAGUAGUGUAACUGUUUUGAUACUGAAAAUUGAUAAAUGUCUUUUUGAAAUAAAGAACCAGUUCCUCCAAAAAAUAAAAAAAGAAAUUAGGAGUGAAAAUGUCCAUUAGAUUAAUUUGAUGAUUCUAGACAUGAGAAUCUGUAAGUUAUUUUCUCUCAUUUUGUCCUCAUUUUUAAGUCUCAAACAAUGAAACCUCCAUCACUUGAAUCUGAUUCGGUAAUGUAUGUACAGCUAUUUAUUCAUUCAACAAUUGUUCAGAGUCAUUUGCCUCUGAUACCAGCCUCUUCAGUGUCAUCAAAAUGAAUUUGAUUUAGAUAACAAUUAAGCAUGUAGGAGAAACAUAAGUUUUCCCACUGAUUUAGAAGAUCAUGAAAUGAAGCAGAACAAAAAGUUAUAAUUUAGUAUAAUUAAGUUCCUAUUUGUGAAUGUUGUCCUAAAGAAGUGUUUAGUACCGCUUGGUUAUUUUGCCAGGGGAAUGACAAUGUAAACAAAAGCUUAAACGUCCUAUCCUAGAGAAGUUAAAUGUGGUCAUAUUCAAAUACUUAAAAAUUGGCUUGGCUUAAAGUUGUGUGACCUUAAGUAAAUUGCUCUCUUCAAGUCUCACUGUAAAUUGUAAGUAAAAGGUCUGUCUUGUCCUAAAUUUUUAUAAUCCUAAGACAGAGUCAGUCUACAAUGUAUUUAUUUUAUAAAUAAUUCUGUAUACUGACAUGUUACUCUUUAAUCUUGCAGACUUAGGUGGAAACCUCAGUUAUCACCUUAGAAUUUUGGAUAUUACAUAUUUACCUUUUCCAUUCUAGAAAAAAUUUUAGACUUUUUUCCCACGCUUUUGUCAGAUUGUAACCUUGACUAUAUGAAACAUAGCCAAGAGAAAGAAAAACAGCUCCAUGGAAACUUGGAGAAGGAGAGGCAUGUACUCAUUCUUAUUUUUGAAAAAUAAGAAAAAAUUUUAAUGUUUAUCAGAUAAAGCAUUUAAUUGAAUUAAUGGAACAGUGUGAAGUAUUGGAUAUUUAGUCAACUGGAGUUUACAGUGACCUUAAACCUUGUUUGAAUAUUUUGUAAAGCAGUAAUAAAAAUUACAAAAUUUCAGUAUAUUUUCUCUUAAGCAAUAUGCUAAAUGUUAAAUUUUAUGUAAGGAUCAAGUCAUAUAAAAUAUUAUAAUAGGUAUAGAACUUUCAAGAGUAGUGUUUAAUGUGUUUUAAGCCAUAAUGUCCAAAAGGUGUUUGGUUAUAAUUUUUCUUAAAGUUUACUUUUUUCUUGAAGUAGAGUGCAAGAGACAAAUACAGGUGGAUUCAAUUUGAAGAAUUCCGGUUUCCUUUAAGCAAAAUUUCACUAUUUCAAACUGAACAAAAUUAUAUUGUAUUCGUAAUUUGACAACACACUUGAAAUGUGUACAGUCUAAAGGAUUCAAAUUUCAAACCUUUCAAUUAUAAUCUAUUGGCGGGCAAGCAAGGCCACAACUAAGUAUUAAUACUUGUAAAUCUCUCCUAUUGCCAGAAAUUGUAUCAGAAGGGAUUGGAUUAUCAAGAAUGGCUGCUAUGUUCUGUUUUGCUCUGGGCUGUGUGGCAUGAAGGAUCUUAUUUCCCCAAUCAGGGAACCCAUGGAUCGAACCUGUGCCACCUGUAGUGGAAGCAGAGUCAAAAGCACUGGACCACCAGGGAAAUCCCAAGAAUGGCGACUGGUUUUGAUCAUGGCACUUGUUUUGACAUCACCACUGCCCCCAUCAAAAAAAAAAAAAAAAAAUCAUAUCUUGUGUACGUAGACCAUGUGGAGAAAGGACUGAGACCAGAAGCAGAAAACAGACAUUGUCCAUACAGAGCAAAGUGCCAGACAACAGCUCGUUCUAGUAAAAGGCAAUAAAUGCCACAUGUGAUGAUCUCCUCAGUUCAAAACUUUACAUCUGACUUACGUGCCAGGUCUGAUGACUUCUACUAUCUUUUCAUGACUUCUAAAUUAUGGAGGGACUCUGUUCACUGGAUCUAAUCCCCUGAAUCUAUUCAUCACCUCCACUGUAUAUUCACUUCCGCUGUUUGGCACUGUGGGGGAAUAUAAAGACCGGUAUGAAGCACAAUCCCAGUCCUCGUCUUAAAAGAACUCAUGGAACCGCAGACAUUGCAACCAGACUUUCUUGGGGUGUUUUUACAAGAAGGGCGACCCCGAGGAGCCGGCGGUGAAGCCAGGAGCGCUUGGUAGCGGAGCAGGUUUCCUGCAGCCCGGCCGCGCUGGCCCGGCCCCGGCCGCCCACCCGCACGCCAUUCCCCCACCUCCGG